rnacentral:Y_RNA from 1 species
GACACGAAUGCCAGUGGAACUACAGCCUUUGACGCUCCAGGUCGCGGGUUCGAAUCCCGCCCGCCGCAUGGCGGUAGCUCAGUGGAUAGAGCGGGACGUUCCGCAUCACUUGUCGUGCUGUC